rnacentral:rRNA from 1 species
CACUCCUGCGGGAGGCAGCAGUGGGGAAUUUUGGACAAUGGGCGAAAGCCUGAUCCAGCCAUGCCGCGUGCAGGAUGAAGGCCUUCGGGUUGUAAACUGCUUUUGUACGGAACGAAACGGCCUUUUCUAAUAAAGAGGGCUAAUGACGGUACCGUAAGAAUAAGCACCGGCUAACUGCGUGCCAGCAGCCGCGGUAAUACGUAGGGUGCAAGCGUUAAUCGGAAUUACUGGGCGUAAAGCGUGCGCAGGCGGUUAUGUAAGACAGUUGUGAAAUCCCCGGGCUCAACCUGGGAACUGCAUCUGUGACUGCAUAGCUAGAGUACGGUAGAGGGGGAUGGAAUUCCGCGUGUAGCAGUGAAAUGCGUAGAUAUGCGGAGGAACACCGAUGGCGAAGGCAAUCCCCUGGACCUGUACUGACGCUCAUGCACGAAAGCGUGGGGAGCAAACAGGAUUAGAUACCCUAGUAGUCCCAUGAU